rnacentral:rRNA from 1 species
GUGGGGAAUAUUGGGCAAUGGGCGGAAGCCUGACCCAGCGACGCCGCGUGGGGGAAGAAGUCUUUCGGGAUGUAAACCCUUGUUGUACGGGACGAAGGAAGUGACGGUACCGUACGAGGAAGCCCCGGCAAACUACGUGCCAGCAGCCGCGGUAAUACGUAGGGGGCGAGCGUUGUCCGGAAUCACUGGGCGUAAAGCGCACGUAGGCGGGCUGUCAAGUCGGCCGUGAAAGGCACGGGCUCAACCUGUGCAUGUCGGUCGAUACUGGCGGUCUGGAGUAUGGGAGAGGGAACUGGAAUUCCCGGUGUAGCGGUGAAAUGCGUAGAUAUCUGGAGGAACAUCAGUGGCGAAGGCGACACCCUGGACCGAUACUGACACUGAGGUGCGAAAGCGUGGGUAGCGAACAGGAUUAGAAACCCGAGUAGUCC